UUUCUUAUAUUCUUCUCUCUAUACGUUGGUGUUCUAACCAAUAAUCACCAAUACGAUAUUCUGUCCGAUCGAUUCGGAAACCAACGGACGAAUGCCAAAGUGCUGUCUAAAUAAGACUAUACUUUGUGAAUUUCGUUAAGGUUCUGAUCUCGUGACCAUCGUUAGGUUUGAUUGGGUUUAACACUAAUACGUAUUCCACUCUGUUAAACUAAAUGUUUAACUACCAGAAACUCUGCACUAUACACUUACAAUCAAGAUAGAUGCCUAGUUAUCAGAAGACUUAGAAUCAGAAGGCCUGUUAAAUCAAGACUAUAUGCUAACAAGGUGAUUACAAUAGAUUGGAAUAAAAGUGAUGAUACGGCACCGAAAGGCUUAAAGAAGUGGCUUAUUUUAUUAAUUAAAUUAAAUUAAGAAAACAUUGUUUCAUAUAUUCGGGCUUAUCCCAUAUUAAAGCUACCUUUGUAAAACAUGGGUUUAUUCCCAUCGGUUUAAUAAAUAAAAAUCCGGUGUUUUAUUUUAUUUAAUUACACGAACGGUUACUACACAUUCAUCGCGUUAAAGAAAAAUAUUGUACCUAUAUUUUCAUAAGUGACAUACCAUCUUCUCUCUAAGUUUUAUUUAUGUUCCACUUCUUUCAAAUCUUAUUAAGAUAUACAGUAAAACCUUUACAAAUUAAUAUUCAAUAAAUUAAUAACCUUGAUGAAAUUAAUAAUUUGUCUAGUCCCAACUUAGGAUCAGUACAAAAUUUGACCCAAAUCGAUAACAUAAUAAGAUAAUAACUUUAAAAAAAUCCUAAAUAUAUAUUAAUUCCAACGAAACUAUAAAUUAAUAAUUACUAAAAGAUUCCAAAUUCCAAUAUUGUCUAGUAAAAAAUAAUGUGCAUUGAAACUUGCUUUUGUAAGAUAAUUUUUAAUGUAUAGUACAUGAAGAAAUGUGCAUUGAAACUUGUUUUUCUAGUUUAUUUAUUUAUUUAUUUUUUUUUUUUGGUACCAUGAACUAAUUUUUUGUAUUAGAAAACAAUGAACUUGACACAUUCAAUUAAUUUGUGAAUGUACAUUAGACUUGAAAACUUAAAGGUCAUACGUAUCUCUUUAAAUUAAUAAAAUAUUUCGGUCCUAAUAUUAUUAAUCUGUAGAGGUUUUACUGAUAUAUAUCCUACCGCCCAACGCUAUUUUCAUUGUUGACUUUAUGAAUUAGGUAUUAAAAUACUAGCAACGUGAUAAAUUAAUUCGACAAAUUUAAUCAUAUAUUACGUUUAUAGUGUAUAUUUGAACAAUGAAAACAAUAAAUUUAAAAGAAACCCAAGCUUUCUCAUUGAUUGUCAUUAACAAUAUAUUUAGUGGUCAUUUAUUUUGCGGUGAUGAAUUUUCUUUUUGUCAUCAAUACAUUUUAAGAAUGAUGAUCAUAUCAUAAUCUUUUUUGUAGUUCUACGGGUGGUCACAGGUAUUUAAGUUCCAUUUAUAGUGGGUUUAAAUAAGUUUUCCCCUUCAGGUCUCAAGUUUGAGUUUGGGUGAUAGGGUUUCUUAUUGAGGGGUUUAAAUUGGGGAUCUAUUGUGCGAGGGAGCUCUCUAGCGCGAACCCGGUUAAGACAACGUAUGUUAGACCUCCCAACAUUCACGAAUAAUUUACACCUUUAAAAAAAGAUUUGAAAAGAUUUUGCUAGAGAAUUGAGGAUUUUUAUGUUAUAUAAUAGUAAUUUCACAAGUUCUAGUUGAAUCAUAAAGGAGAUUACAUGCAUAAAGAAAACUAAUGGAUUUAGAGAUAUAAAGUUGUCACAUACAUAAUGAAUUUGAAGUACAAAAAUAAAAUAAUUGAAUAGUGGUGUGAUAAUUAAACACAUAAACAAUAAUACUUUAUUGGUGUAAUGGUGUAAUGUGAAAUAUAAGAUAAUUUUAGGGUUGUAUCAUUGGCACACCUUGGGGAUUAAAUCGACACCCUCAAUACGUAUCGUAUAGGUCUAUACGAUGCGUAUUGAGGUGGGUUCAAACUUUUAUGUCUGCCAAAGGCUGACAAUGUCCCCUUACCAAAAAGUAAUACGCAUCGUAUAGGCCUAUACUGUCACACCCCGAAAUAUCAGAGCAUUGGCGUGAUUGGACGGGUAUCUUCAUUGCACAACGGAAGCAAAAUAAGCUAAGACUUCUAGAAAACGAACGCCACUAAGUACUCGUAUCUCCAAUGGUUCUCCUAUUCCAACCGUGCCUUGACUUUGAAAAGCAACCUGAGAAAGAAACAUGCGAAAAAGUCAACAUAAAGUUGAGCGAGUUCAUAGUUUGUUUGUAAAAGAUUUAAAAUAAAUCUUUUGAAUAACCGGUUUGUGAAAUAAUAUUGAGAAAACGAACUUAGAAAUCAUUUUCUUGCCAAGUUAUAUGGAAACUUUAUAUUUGUAACGCGUUAUGUUCGUAAAACCAUGUAUUUGUAAAGUAUGUAUAACCGUCAAUGCCCACCCUGACUUUGACUCUAUGCCCGUAUAAUCCUAUACUCUGAAUUUGUGUAAAACAUGGUUUUUAUUUUGUAUAAAUCAAGCAUUUUGUAAGUGUGUAUGAUAAAUAUCCCUGGUAUGUAGCAAUAAGGAAAAAGAGAUCACCACUGGGUUACAAAGCCACUGGUAUGUGUGAAGUGAUGCAGGAAAACUCAAACCUAGCAAAUUUGUACCGGGCCUCGGCUGUAAGACACAGUCACCUCUAUGGGUCACCCUGACCUCACGGGUGUGGGCUCGCUACACCCAAAUAGAUCUAUCACUCUUGUGUCCCUCGGUCCUAACAACGAGGAUUAAUGGCUUUAAGUGUUGUACCCACGACUCACAUGAUCUGAACGUCCCAACCCUCCUUAAGCUAACCAUACCAUGUAUAAAAAUGUCCUAAAUAAUUGUAACAUGUAUUUUACCUCAACCUCUAAGGCUGAACCUCCCCAGCCUCUAAGGCUGAACCUCCCCAGCCUCUAAGACUGAACCUCUCAGCCUCUAAGGCCAACUCCCUAGUUAUGAAAAUCACUCA
rnacentral:lncRNA from 1 species